UCUAAGUACCUGAAGGAAGAGAAAGAAAUUCGAUUCCGUAAGUAGCGGCGAGCGAACGCGGAUUAGCCCAAACCAAUAAAGUUUUCUUUAUUGGGGUUGCGGACAUAUCAUAACGAAGAGGUAUCGUAAUUGAAGAGGUUUGGAAAGACCCACCACAGAAGGUAAUAGUCCUGUAUGUUAAACGAGAAGACUUCAGAUAUGAUCCAGAGUACCACGGGACACGUGAAACCCUGUGGGAAGCAGGAGGGACCACCCUCCAAGGCUAAAUACUACCUAGUGACCGAUAGCGUAUAGUACCGUGAGGGAAAGGUGAAAAGAACCCCGGGAGGGGAGUGAAAUAGAACCUGAAACCCUGCACUUACAAGCUGUGGAAGCACAUUUCUUGUGUGACCGCGUACUUUUUGUAGAACGGGCCAACGAGUUACGUUAAGUAGCAAGGUUAAGCACUUAAGGUGUGGAGCCGUAGCGAAAGCGAGUUUUAACUGAGCGUUCAGUUACUUGACGUAGACCCGAAACCGGGCGACCUACCCAUGAGCAGGAUGAAGCGAAAGUAAAAUUUCGUGGAGGUCCGAACCCACGAGCGUUGAAAAGCUCGGGGAUGACUUGUGGGUAGCGGUGAAAUUCCAAUCGAGCCCGGAGAUAGCUGGUUCUCCCCGAAAUAGCUUUAGGGCUAGCCUCAAGGUGAGAGAUACGGAGGUAGAGCACUGAAUGUCCUAGGGGGUAUUGCACCUACCGAAGACUAUCAAACUCCGAAUGCCGUCAUCUUAUACUUGGGAGUCAGACUGUGGGUGAUAAGAUUCAUAGUCGAAAGGGCAACAGCCCAGAUCGUCAGCUAAGGUCCCUAAAUGUAAGUUAAGUGGUAAAGGAUGUGGGAUUGCACAGACAACCAGGAUGUUGGCUUAGAAGCAGCCACUCAUUCAAAGAGUGCGUAAUAGCUCACUGGUCGAGUGAUCCUGCGCCGAAGAUUUCCGGGGCUAAAACUUACUACCGAAGCUACGGCAUCAGUAAUGAUGGGUAGGGGAGCUUCCCAUACGGGUUGAAGCAUGACCGUAAGGACAUGUGGACAGUAUGGGAGUGAGAAUGUUGGCAUGAGUAGCGAGAUGUGGGUGAGAAUCCCACAGGCCGUAAACCCAAGGUUUCCAGGGGAAGGUUCGUCCGCCCUGGGUUAGUCGGGACCUAAGCUGAGGCCGAAAGGCGUAGGUGAUGGACAACAGGUUGAUAUUCCUGUACUACCGAUAACCGUUUGAGAGAAGGGAUGACACAGUAGGAUAAGCUAAGCACACUGUUGGUUAUGUGUGCCCAAGCAUUGAGGCAGUCAAAGUAGGCAAAUCCGCUUUGAUAAUGCUGGGAUGUGAUGGGGAGCGAAAUUUAGUAGCGAAGUAGCUGAUUUCACACUGUCAAGAAAAGUCUCUAUCGAGGUUAAAGGUACCCGUACCGCAAACCGACACAGGUGGGUGAGGAGAGUAUCCUAAGGCCAGCGAGAGAACUGUUGUUAAGGAACUCGGCAAAAUGACCCCGUAACUUAGGGAUAAGGGGUGCCACCAUCAGGUGGCCGCAGAGAAUAGGCCCAAGCGACUGUUUACCAAAAACAUAGGUUUCUGCUAAGUCGCAAGACGAUGUAUAGGAGCUGACGCCUGCCCGGUGCUGGAAGGUUAAGGGGAUCUGUUAGAGCAAUCGAAGCAGUGAACUUAAGCCCCAGUAAACGGCGGCCGUAACUAUAACGGUCCUAAGGUAGCGAAAUUCCUUGUCGGGUAAGUUCCGACCCGCACGAAAGGCGUAACGAUUUGGGCACUGUCUCAACAACAGACUCGGUGAAAUUGUAAUUCCGGUGAAGAUGCCGGAUACCUGCGACAGGACGGAAAGACCCCAUGGAGCUUUACUGUAGCUUGACAUUGGGUCUUGGUACUACAUGUACAGGAUAGGUGGGAGGCUUUGAAACCAGGACGCCAGUUUUGGCGGAGCCAUCCUUGGGAUACCACCCUUGUAGUACUGGGACUCUAACCAUAGGCCAUGAAUCUGGUCUUGGGACACUGUCAGGUGGGCAGUUUGACUGGGGCGGUCGCCUCCCAAAAGGUAACGGAGGCGCUCAAAGGUUCUCUCAGUACGGUCGGAAAUCGUACGUAGAGUGUAAAGGCAAAAGAGAGCUUGAUUGCAAGACAUACAGGUCGAGCAAGGAUGAAAAUCGGACUUAGUGAUCCGGUGGUUCUGCGUGGAAGGGCCAUCGCUCAACGGAUAAAAGCUACCCUGGGGAUAACAGGCUUAUCUCCCCCAAGAGUCCACAUCGACGGGGAGGUUUGGCACCUCGAUGUCGGCUCAUCACAUCCUGGGGCUGUAGUAGGUCCCAAGGGUUGGGCUGUUCGCCCAUUAAAGUGGUACGCGAGCUGGGUUCAGAACGUCGUGAGACAGUUCGGUCCCUAUCCGUCGCAGGCGUAGGAAAUUUGAGAAGACCUGUCCUUAGUACGAGAGGACCGGGAUGGACGUACCUCUGGUGUACCAGUUGUUCUGCCAAGGGCAUGGCUGGGUAGCUAUGUACGGAAUGGAUAAGCGCUGAAAGCAUCUAAGCGCGAAGCCAACUUCAAGAUAAGAUUUCCCACCGCAAGGGUAAGACCCCAGAAAGACUAUCUGGUUGAUAGGUCGAAGGUGUAAGUGCAGCAAUGUAUUUAGCUUAUCGAUACUAAUAGGUCGAGGACUUGACCAA
rnacentral:rRNA from 1 species